rnacentral:rRNA from 1 species
UUUCCCUCAGGAUAGCUGGCACUCGCUUGAGCGAGUCUCAUCUGGUAAAGCGAAUGAUUAGAGGCCUUGGGGCCGAAACGACCUCAACCUAUUCUCAAACUUUAAAUGGGUGAGAUCUCUGGCUUGCUCGAACGUUGAAGCCACGAGAUGAAAUUCAUUUUCGAAUGGAUCAGAGUGCCAAGUGGGCCAAUUUUGGUAAGCAGAACUGGCGCUGUGGGA